GAUGAACGCUAGCGGCAGGCCUAAUACAUGCAAGUCGAACGGUGUCUUCGGACAUAGUGGCGCACGGGUGCGUAACACGUAUGCAACCUACCUUACAUUGGGGGAUAGCCUUUCGAAAGGGAGAUUAAUACCGCAUAAGACAGUAGCUGGGCAUCCAGCAGCUGUUAAAGAUUUAUCGAUGUAAGAUGGGCAUGCGUCGAAUUAGUUAGUUGGCGAGGUAACGGCUCACCAAGACUUUGAUUGGUAGGGGAACUGAGAGGUCAAUCCCCCACACUGGCACUGAGAUACGGGCCAGACUCCUACGGGAGGCAGCAGUAGGGAAUAUUGGGCAAUGGACGCAAGUCUGACCCUGCCAUGCCGCGUGCAGGAUGAAGGCAUUAUGCGUUGUAAACUGCUUUUAUACAGGAAGAAACGACUCUUGCGAGAGGCAUUGACGGUACUGUAUGAAUAAGCACCGGCUAACUCCGUGCCAGCAGCCGCCGUAACAC
rnacentral:rRNA from 1 species